rnacentral:rRNA from 1 species
GACGAACGCUGGCGGCGUGCUUAACACAUGCAAGUCGAACGAAGAGCGAUGGAAGCUUGCUUCUAUCAAUCUUAGUGGCGCACGGGUGAGUAACGCGUAAUCAACCUGCCCUUCAGAGGGGGACAACAGUUGGAAACGACUGCUAAUACCGCAUACGAUCUAACCUCGGCAUCGAGGAAAGAUGAAAGGUGGCCUCUAUGUAUAAGCUAUCACUGAAGGAGGGGAUUGCGUCUGAUUAGCUAGUUGGAGGGGUAACGGCCCACCAAGGCGAUGAUCAGUAGCCGGUCUGAGAGGAUGAACGGCCACAUUGGGACUGAGACACGGCCCAGACUCCUACGGGAGGCAGCAGUGGGGAAUCUUCCGCAAUGGACAAAAGUCUGACGGAGCAACGCCGCGUGAGUGAUGACGGCCUUCGGGUUGUAAAGCUCUGUUAAUCGGGACGAAAGGCCUUCUUGCGAAUAGGGAGAAGGAUUGACGGUCCCGGAAUAGAAAGCCACGGCUAACUACGUG